rnacentral:SRP_RNA from 1 species
GCUGGGUGCAGUGGCGUGUGCCUGUAACUGUAGCUACCUGCAGGGCUGAGGUCUGUAGAUGGUUUGAGGUUGGGACUCCUGGGGGGUGCUGCUCUAUGUUGAGCAUGCUAGCAGAUGCCCGCACUGGGUUUGGCAUCAAUAUGGGUAUUGCGGAGGAGUCCGGUGAUGUCCAGGUUGUAUAAUGAGAACCGUAUCGGCCCAGGCCCUAGCGGGAGCAGGCAAAAGGCUCCGUACUGAGUGGUAGUGGGAUAACGUCUGUGAAUUCAUUCACCAGCCUGGCCAAUAAUUAAUCAGACCAAACUUUUU